AACGAACGCUGGCGGCAUGCCUAACACAUGCAAGUCGAACGAGACCUUCGGGUCUAGUGGCGCACGGGUGCGUAACGCGCGGGAAUCUGCCCCUUGGUUCGGAAUAACAGUUAGAAAUGACUGCUAAUACCGGAUGAUGACGAAAGUCCAAAGAUUUAUCGCCGAGGGAUGAGCCCGCGUAGGAUUAGCUAGUUGGUGAGGUAAAGGCUCACCAAGGCGACGAUCCUUAGCUGGUCUGAGAGGAUGAUCAGCCACACUGGGACUGAGACACGGCCCAGACUCCUACGGGAGGCAGCAGUGGGGAAUAUUGGACAAUGGGCGAAAGCCUGAUCCAGCAAUGCCGCGUGAGUGAUGAAGGCCUUAGGGUCGUAAAGACUCUUUUACCAGGGAUGAUAAUGACAGUACCUGGAGAAUAAGCUCGGCUAACUCCGUG
rnacentral:rRNA from 1 species